rnacentral:rRNA from 1 species
UACGUAGGGGGCAAGCGUUGUCCGGAUUUAUUGGGCGUAAAGAGCGUGUAGGCGGCUUUACAGGUCCGUUGUGAAAACUCGAGGCUCAACCUCGAGACGCCGGUGGAAACCGUAAGGCUAGAGUCCGGAAGAGGAGAGUGGAAUUCCUGGUGUAGCGGUGAAAUGCGCAGAUAUCAGGAAGAACACCCGUGGCGAAGGCGGCUCUCUGGGACGGUACUGACGCUGAGGAGCGAAAGCAUGGGUAGCGAACAGG